GUAUGUCAUAUAGGAUUGGAAUCAGACUCAUGAUGAAGAAUUUUUAAAAAUGAUUCCACAAAUUAUUUUUUCUUGUUAAUACCUGGUUCUUACAUUUACCCACAAUGCAAUUCAACAGGAUUAAAUUUUAUGUAUGUUGUGCCAGUAGUGGCUAAUGUAGCCUCAGUAUGCUAGCUUCAAGCAGAGGUCAGCAGUGGGCUACGAUGGUGUGCUAAGCUAGCUAGCUUUCAAACUCCAUAUCCAGAAAAAUAAUAAAAUAGGCACACAAUUUAUCAGAUAUAAGAUGUUGAUGUUUUCUUCUAUAAUAAAUUACUAAAAAAUGUAAAAAUGCAAAGUAAAAUAUGCCAGGUUGGGAAGCAGAAUGGACUUUGAAAGACAGUAGGGCUGAAUUGCAUUAUGGGAAGUGCAGGAUCCAGGGGUUUUUUUGUGCUGGAUUCGAAUUAAGGAAUGAAAGUCAGGAUAUCUUGACAUCCGCUGCAUUGAUUUCGGCCAUUCUUUUUUUAAUCUAACUUUCACAAGCCCUCAAACUUUUUAGCAGUGCAAUACUAAAUCACUGGGGUGGUCCUUUAAGUCUUUAUUUGCUCUUGUGCAACAGUGUGGUUUCACAGAUUCUCUUUAAGCCACUAGUUUCUACUGAUUUUUAAUUAUAUUAAAGAUUCUGUUUUUAAAUGUCUUCUUAUGAGUCACCAUAAAUCUCUCUGGGAGGUUUUGAUGCAAAAAGGAAUUUCAAGCCUCAGUCCUGCGCUGUUAUUAAUGAGAAUUCAUGUAUUGUUAUUAUUACAUGAUGUAGCUGUUCUGUUCUGAGGAAAAAUAGGAAACCAAAGUCAUAUAUAUGUAAUGAAGCUGACAGCUGUAGAGGUGGAGGAUUCUUGAAACAGAAAGACAGAAGUGUUAGCUUUUGCUUUGAUCAUAUUUUUGUCAGCGUUUAUUCGGCAGACUCUCCUGGUAAAGAAAGUCACUAGCAAUAUGUAAUAUUUACUACUUCACUCUUCUCUUUCAGGAGACCUUGUUUUUUUUUUGUUUGUUUUUUUUGCAUUUCCAUUUGUUGUUUCCAUUCAACACGAAAAGCAAUCAUUCUUCAUAUCAAACUUUCUUGCUACAAUAUGCCAGGCAGGGUAAUUGUUUCUGCCUAAUGUUUAUGUAUUGUGGGAAGCGAGGGAGUCCUGUGUGUUCAGGAGGUAGAGGCGAGGCGAGAUUGAUGAUCAGGCCUCGGAGAGAGGGACCCAACAAAAGGAAGGGAAAGAAAGGAGGAGAGAAGAUUUUUUCGGGAGUGUAAUUAGCGAUGAUGAGCAGAACAAAAAAGAGAUUUAAGAGGGAAUUAUGGUAAUGUGGACAGUGUUCCCCGCACAUUUGCACACGCUCCUCCUUCCGUGAAUAAUCCCCUGCUCCCCUUGAACCUGUGGUUGUAAAUAAUAAUAGCUGAUAACCCGAUCAGGACGGAGGCGAGGCGCAAAGUAAUCUGCUACCUGAGAGAGGAAGGGAAGUGCAUCUGAGGAGAGUUUAUUUUCAAAGGGAGUAGAGAGUGGUCAAAUGAGGACUUAAAGGAAAGGAAGUAAGAAUAAACAGAAGGAGGUGCUUUAUAAUUUCAGCUUUCUUUUGAUUUAUUCAACACAAUCUACUGUUAAAACCUCCCAUUCUCACUCAAGACCUUAAUUAAACUGUUAAAUAGACCUUCAGGUUGGUGUGUUUGACCAGCCACCCCCUAUGGAUCGCUAAAUCCAGAACACAGUGUUUGACUAUUAUUUGCAAAGUAAUUACGCAAAUGUUUAAUUUAAUGAGGGCUCCUGCCUGCUAGAAUAGAAUUAAAGUAUGUCUCGGACUAGAUACUGUUAGAUGGGAGGAAUUCAGCAAAAAAAAGUCAAAUAAAAGACUUCUGUGGCACCGUGUAUUUUAAGGGCUGGGGAAUCUACAUUGCAAUAUUUUUUUAAUGUGUCAUGACUUGUUUUCGGAAUUCAAUCAGACUUUGAAUCAAAAGGGAAAAACAAGAGCCAUGAAGGAGAGUUAAGGGCUACAGUUUUAGUUGGAGAAAUGAAUGUGGAAUAUAGAAAUGACAAGAAGGCAUGUCUGCUUUAGUUUAAAUGAAGUUCCAGUGCAGUCUCAAACCUAAAUAUGGAACAGCUACAUUGGUCCACUGUGCAAAAACCUAUUAGUUUAACAAUAAUUUCUGUAAAAUACUGAGAUGACUAUCUACUCUUUUGUGUUGGUCGGUGUUGGUGUCAUGUGACUCACAAAGUUCACUGACUAGACCAUGGUUUAAUUCCCUUGUAGGACCAUUAUUUUAUGGUGUCGCUGUUGAGUCCCCUUUAGCUUUCAUUUUCAUCCACUGUUUCCAAUUGUUUUUAGUCACUGUUUUCAGGUUCAGUUUUCAGUCCUUCAUUUUCUGUCACUGUAUGUAUUCAGGUACCCUACAAAUCUACUUUAUUAAGUUUAGACACCAACAGUACUGGUUUCGGUUAAGGAAAACAUUGUAAUUCCGGUUAAAAUACACCUGUUUAAACACUUUUAAAUCACUGUUUUCAGUGGUUUUCAAUUACCUUUGCAUUGGUUUACCUACAAAGUUAAUGUUAAAUUUGAAUUGUUUUCUACGUUGCUACAGUCUCUUCCCAAGUAUAACCCCUAAAAAAUAAAAACAUCUCACUAAUUUACAGACACUUUUUUGUGAAAAUAAGCCAUUUUGCACUGUGGACCAACAUAACUAUGCUCCAUCUUUUUCUGAGACUGGGAUGGAAGUUCAAAUUAGAGAGUGACUUGUUUAAAUCAUGUUUACCAGCACAGUUAAAGGGGUCCUCCACUGAUUUUACACCAACAUGUAACUUUACCUGUCAUGAUCACCAGUGAAAUACUUGUCUUAUGUGGCAGCAGAUGAAGUGUUUUUACAAAAGGAGAAGCAAAUCUUUGUCACAUUGUUGCAGUUUGCAGAGAAAAUUUUGUUAAAAUGUAAACAUUCUCAGCUCACACAGACAUCAUCCAUCGUUACCCACAAGUCUUUUCAUCAGCUAAAUCAUUGUGAUCAAACAUUUGCUUUGCAUUCUGUCUGAACAUUCCUUUAAGUUAAAAUAACCCCGAUAAAGUCCUGAUGAUCAGCGUAAUCUCUUUAGAGCUUGAGGCUUUUUGACAGAAAGCUUACAUGACAAAAAACUGGAGCAAGAAAGACAUUGCAUUAUGGGAAAUGUAGUAUUUGGCUAUUUUGGAGCAGAUUGUGAGGAUAUUUUGACCAAUUCUGCUUCAAUUUUGCCUUUGAUCUGCAACUUUAUGAAGCCGAAAUUCACUGGAAGACCCCUUUAACAGUUAGAUAAAUAAACAUGAAUUCACAUUUUAUUUGUUUGCAGUAUUUGUAGGGCUGCAAUCAUUUCAUACCAGGCCUCAAACUCUGUGUUAAAAAAAGAGACUUUACAGCAUCAAGAGUCAACGUUUUCUUAAACCAAUCCAUCAGGAGCUCUUUUCAUUUCCGGCAGCCCGAUGUCAGUCAACACUGACAUCUAGUGAGUGAUGGCUUCAUAUCUCACUUCAUUAUUAUUGAGAUAUUCAUACUGCAGCUGUGUGUGCGUGGAUUCAGCAGUUAAACGUUACAAAUGAUCUAUAAGCCACUUAAAGCUGCGUCUCAUCGUUCCACUGUAGAAUAUGCAGACGAAUCAGCCUUUUAAUGCCAGUUGGAGGACUGUUAUUUGAAUUGUGGGAUCCGUUUGUGGCAUGAAAAAUGAAUAUUAGUCUCCAUGAUUCUUUCAUAUACUAUUAAAUAUUUUCUAUUUUCAGUCAGAAGCUGAGCAGAUAUUAUCUUUUGUAAGCAGAUAAAUGCUAUGAGGUGUUAUUCUUGGGCUAAAAGUGUGAGAAAUGUGUAUCCCGCUGUGUUUGCAGUGUUAUUGAUUUCCAGAAAUUACUAAGUCAUUUACUGUGAGCAGAGAGUUUGCAUGAUUGCAGAGUUUUGUGUGUGUUUUUCCGUGUUCACACUCUGAUUUCACUCUCUCUCUCUCUCUCUCUCUCUGAGUUCCUUUUGUUGAAGCCUGAAAUCAGCUUCUCUGUUCCGGCCCGUCUCCUCUCCAGCCUUCAGGCUUCACUUCAAAACGACCCUAAAAAAAAGAAGCUCAAUCUUCAAAGAGAGAUCCUUCUGAUCCCCCAGAAUCCACCUGUCAAUCACAGAACCGACCGACUGACCGACCUCCGACCUUUCGACGAGAUUUUAAUUGGCUCAACCGGCAGCAUGUGGACUGCUACGUUCGCCGUCUGUCUCACGCACCGACACAUCUCCCACAAGUGUGUGUGUGUGUGAUUCUGUGAUCGAUCCUCGAAGGACGUUUUUUGGACUUUUUCUUUCUUUUUUUGUACUGCAUGGCCGAUCCAACUUCUUGUGAGUCUUCCAGGAAGAUUUUAAGGGAAUUCACCGUUAUCUUACUUUCCUUCUCGUCUUCCAAAUGCAAAAAGAGUGCUUCAGUCUUCCAGUUAUCAAAGCCACAAUGACACUAUUUUUGUAUUCAAAAUGGGGCAAAAAUAUAUCUAUAUAUCUCUAUAUAUAAAUAUAUCCAUGCAGAUGUGGUUGGGGUGCAGUAACUCCCCCUGUUGCUGGCAAGGUGGAGUAACACAACUACUAGACGCCAUCCAAAAACCCAUGGAUCACUUGGAGGAAGGAGCUGAGAAGGACUUCGGAGAGUGCCAGGGACUUGCAGAUUGAAACUCCUGGGUUGAGAUAGAGGCUCACAGACGGGGCGGGACUACAGCAUGCAUGCGCCAAUCAUUUACUGGACACCUUCAAAGAAACAGUCUCUACCCAGUAUUUACUCUUUGACCCCCCCUUUAACCCCCUUAACCCCUCCACCCUCCUCAACACUCCUACUUUCCCCCCAACUCUUGUCUCUGCAUUUGCAAUAUGAUCCGUAUUUAUUUCUAUAAUAACUUACACAAAGUCAAGGG
ensembl:lncRNA